rnacentral:tRNA from 1 species
GCGCUGAUAGCUCAGUUGGAUAGAGCACGAGCCUUCUAAGCUUGGGGUCGGGGGUUCGAAUCCUCCUCAGCGCG